GAUUGCGGUGACGACUCCAGUAAUUCAAGCUCAACAGACCGGAAUGCAGGUUUCUUUCUCUUCGGAGUUUGUAGGAAUCUGCGUGUGUCGAUUUCCCGCUGAACUGAGCAAUC